rnacentral:rRNA from 1 species
UGGGGAAUAUUGCACAAUGGGCGCAAGCCUGAUGCAGCCAUGCCGCGUGUAUGAAGAAGGCCUUCGGGUUGUAAAGUACUUUCAGCGGGGAGGAAGGGAGUAAAGUUAAUACCGUUGCUCAUUGACGUUACCCGCAGAAGAAGCACCGGCUAACUCCGUGCCAGCAGCCGCGGUAAUACGGAGGGUGCAAGCGUUAAUCGGAAUUACUGGGCGUAAAGCGCACGCAGGCGGUUGAUUGAGUCAGAUGUGAAAUCCCCGGGCUUAACCCGGGAAUUGCAUCUGAUACUGGUCAGCUAGAGUCUUGUAGAGGGGGGUAGAAUUCCAUGUGUAGCGGUGAAAUGCGUAGAGAUGUGGAGGAAUACCGGUGGCGAAGGCGGCCCCCUGGACAAAGACUGACGCUCAGGUGCGAAAGCGUGGGGAGCAAACAGG